rnacentral:rRNA from 1 species
AGUGAACGCUGGCGGUAGGCCUAACACAUGCAAGUCGAACGGCAGCACAGUAAGAGCUUGCUCUUACGGGUGGCGAGUGGCGGACGGGUGAGGAAUACAUCGGAAUCUACUUUUUCGUGGGGGAUAACGUAGGGAAACUUACGCUAAUACCGCAUACGACCUACGGGUGAAAGCAGGGGAUCUUCGGACCUUGCGCGAUUGAAUGAGCCGAUGUCGGAUUAGCUAGUUGGCGGGGUAAAGGCCCACCAAGGCGACGAUCCGUAGCUGGUCUGAGAGGAUGAUCAGCCACACUGGAACUGAGACACGGUCCAGACUCCUAUGGGAGGCAGCAGUGGGGAAUAUUGGACAAUGGGCGCAAGCCUGAUCCAGCCAUACCGCGUGGGUGAAGAAGGCCUUCGGGUUGUAAAGCCCCUUUUGUUGGGAAAGAAAAGCAGCAGGUUAAUACCCCGCUGUUCUGACGGUACCCAAAGAAUAAGCACCGGCUAACUUCGUG